UACAGCCUCUGAUGUACUUACAUCAGUCCUCAUCCUCCUUUGGUGCUACUGCCACCUCCAUCUGCACAGGGGCAGAUGCUGAAGGUUAUCUAACGUCUGUAAGCUGAAAAAUAGAAUCCAGCCUGGAACCUUGGGCUGGCACCUGGACCACUCCACUGCUCGUGGCAAUGCUCCUGUGAAGCUAACAGAGGAAUAAAUCUGAGGAGCAGAGACUUGAGUCUAGACAUACAGAAACCAUACCCAUGGGAGUAUGGAUGUGAAUAAAACAUUUCAUUUUAUGGCCACAGAACCACAGAAAGAGAAAAAAAAAAAAAAAAGCACACCAACUUUGGAGGGUUUAAAAGCUCUUUCAUCAUUACACAAUUGUUCUGCAGAGCUCAAGAAAUCCUCUAGAUUUAGAGCAAUUUUCCAAUCAUAUAGAUAUAUGUUAGUCUUUUUGGAAAUGCUGGUUGGGUUUGGUACAGAGGCUCAGCAAGGAGUCCCACUUGCAUGCCCUGGGAGACAUCCUGGGGAGAGCAUUCAGGGAGCUGCACAGCCCAAAGGCCUGUCCUGGUUGUGUCCUGGCAGCUGACAGCAGAUGUAUGGGGCAGGCAGAUCAAUCCAUCCUUGGAUUCAGAAUCUGCUUUGGUAAAUGUGCAACGUGUGGGCUCGGUAAAAAACAAAGCCCAUUGGCAUAUUUAUGAUAUAUAGCUGGUACACUGUGCUGAAUCCAGAGGAUUUCACAAGAGAAGCUUAAGGAUGCUUCAUCUGCAGUCUCAGACACCAAGAAUUCACAACAAGCUGAAGCCCAGCCAGAUUCCCUCAAAGAGAAGAGAGGCAGCUUUUCCAACAUACUUUGAAACUUCAUUUGCAUUCUACAGCAGCAAAUAAACCAUGAAUAUAACUGGGCAGAGAAGAGGCCUCCUAUCACUCUGAUUUCAUUUGCAGAAUCCCAGGGAGAGUAGGAAAAGCAGUUUGAAUAGAGGAGGGCUCUAAAAUUGCAUUUUUUCUUAUUAUUUGGUCUUUUACAACUGUACUUUCAAUUCUGUAACCAGAAGCUACAUCUUCUUUGUAAUACAGAAACUCAUGCAAGAUUUCAUAUUAAACUUGCUAGCUGUUUUGAGCAAGUACAGCUGGAGAAAGUACAUUUGUCCAAAAGAUAUUAACCCCCACCUACAGAUCAAUUCUCGGGCUGCUGGAAUCUAGAAUGAAUAAGGAAAAUUCACUACGUUGGAACCUUUCUUGCCAAGCUGCAAGGAACAUCUAGAAGUCUGCUUAUCAUCAGCUGCAGGUCUUAGGAGGGCUCCUGAGAGGCACCUGCUGACAAGUAUCAAAGGGACAAUUUGUGUCACUAAGUGACUAAGCUGAAUUACUGGGGUGGUUUUACUAUGAUAGGCAGCUAAACUACACCACAACUGCUCUCACUCCCCCUGCCGCUUCUGUAAGGAAGGAGGGGAUAAAAAUAGAAGAGCUCAAGGUUUGGGAUAAGGACAGGGAGUUCACCCACCAGUUAUUGUCAUGGGCAAAACAGACUCAGGGUAGGGAACUUAAUAUAAUUUAUUGCCUAUGACUAACAGUCUAGAGCAGUGAGAAACUACAAACAAACUGCCCUGUUCUCUUCAAAUACUGCUCCAACACAGCUCUGUACCACGGGAUCCAUGCCCCAGGAGCAAACUGCUCCAACACGGGUCCUCCGUGGGCGGCAGCUCCUCCCAGAUCCCCUGCUCCUGCGUGGGCUCCUCUCCACGGGCUGCAGCUCCGGCCCGGGGCCUGCUCCUGCGG